CAGGGAGACAACAAAAUGUUAAAUAUUAAUUUUGUCACCUUAGGUCGAUCGGUAUCUCAGAUUCUUAAAUCCUUUAAGAAUUUCAAUUCCUAAGUUUUUCUAGGUCACACCCAUUACUUUCCCUGGGCCAUUAGCUCAGGUGGUUAGAGCGCACCCCUGAUAAGGGUGAGGUCCCUGGUUCAAGUCCAGGAUGGCCCAUAUCUCUAUGUUGGGGGUAUAGCUCAGUUGGUAGAGCGCCUGCUUUGCAAGCAGGAUGUCAGCGGUUCGAGUCCGCUUACCUCCACUGAUUACCACCUCUCUCAUGAAUUUGGAGGGAAUUGUUUUGAGAUGUGAUUUUGAUCUGAACGAAUCUAGCUUCCUAAUUAAUAUUAAGAUGCUGGACUCAUUGAAUUUUAUUCAUUGUUUUCAGAGAACCUUGACAACUGCAUAGAUUUUUUAAAAGACAAUAAGCAUCUUUAAUGAUGCAGAUUUAUUAUUUGUGCUAAAUGCAUUAAUAACAAUUCUAUUGAGCUGAUGCUUCAA
rnacentral:tRNA from 1 species